UGGGGAAUCUUCGGCAAUGGACGAAAGUCUGACCGAGCAACGCCGCGUGAGUGAAGAAGGUUUUCGGAUCGUAAAACUCUGUUGGUAGAGAAGAACGUUGGUGAGAGUGGAAAGCUCAUCAAGUGACGGUAACCACCCAGAAAGGGACGGCUAACUACGUGCCUG
rnacentral:rRNA from 1 species